rnacentral:rRNA from 1 species
AUUGAACGCUGGCGGCAGGCCUAACACAUGCAAGUCGAGCGGAGCGGCGGACGGGUGAGUAAUGCCUAGGAAUCUGCCUGGUAGUGGGGGAAAACGUCGGGAAAGGGGCGCUAAUACGGCAUACUAUAGGAUGAGCUAGGGUCGGAUUAGCUAGUUGGUGGGGUAAAGGCCUACCAAGGCGACGAUCCGUAACUGGUCUGAGAGGAUGAUCAGUCACACUGGAACUGAGACACGGUCCAGACUCCUACGGGAGGCAGCAGUGGGGAAUAUUGGACAAUGGGCGAAAGCCUGAUCCAGCCAUGCCGCGUGUGUGAAGAAGGUCUUCGGAUUGUAAAGCACUUUAAGUUGGGAGGCGUUACCAACAGAAUAAGCACCGGCUAACUUCGUGCCAGCAGCCGCGGUAAUAC